rnacentral:misc_RNA from 1 species
GAUGAAGAACGCAGCGAAAUGCGAUAAGUAAUGUGAAUUGCAGAAUUCAGUGAAUCAUCGAGUCUUUGAACGCACAUUGCGCCCCCUGGUAUUCCGGGGGGCAUGCCUGUCCGAGCGUCAUUGCUGCCCUCAAGCACGGCUUGUGUGUUGGGCCCCCGUCCCCGGUUCUCCCCGGGGACGGGCCCGAAAGGCAGCGGCGGCACCGCGUCCGAUUCUCGAGCGUAUGGGGCUUUGUCACCCGCUCUGUAGGCCCGGCCGGCGCCAGCCGACACCCCAACUUUAUUUUCUAAGGUUGACCUCGGAUCAGGUAGGGAUACCCGCUGAACUUAAGCAUAUCAAUAAGCGGAGGA